AAUGUAUGACACCGUUGGCUUUUUGACAAACGUUUGACCUUUCGUCUUAUUCAAAAAAUUUAUGUAAUUAUCAUUUAUUUUAAUGUGACUUGAUUUAUCAUCAAAUGUUCUUUAAGUAUGACAUAAAUAUUUUUAUAUUUGCAUAAAAAAUUUGAAUAAGACGAAUGGUCAAACGUUGGUUAAAAAGUCAACGGCGUCAUACAUU
rnacentral:pre_miRNA from 1 species